UACGAAGGGGGCUAGCGUUGCUCGGAAUUACUGGGCGUAAAGGGAGCGUAGGCGGAUAGUUUAGUCAGAGGUGAAAGCCCAGGGCUCAACCCUGGAAUUGCCUUUGAUACUGGCUAUCUUGAGUGUGGGAGAGGUUAGCGGAACUCCGAGUGUAGAGGUGAAAUUCGUAGAUAUUCGGAAGAACACCAGUGGCGAAGGCGGCUAACUGGCCCAUUACUGACGCUGAGGCUCGAAAGCGUGGGGAAGCAAACAGGG
rnacentral:rRNA from 1 species